AGAGUUUGAUCCUGGCUCAGAUUGAACGCUGGCGGCAUGCCUAACACAUGCAAGUCGAACGGUAGCAUGACUAGCUUGCUAGUUGAUGACGAGUGGCGAACGGGUGAGUAACGCGUAGGAAUAUACCUUUUUGUGGGGGAUAACUCGAGGAAACUCGAGCUAAUACCGCAUGUGCUCUUAGGAGUAAAGCUGGGGACCUUCGGGCCUGGUGCAAAAAGAUUAGCCUGCGUCCGAUUAGCUAGUUGGUAGGGUAAAGGCCUACCAAGGCGACGAUCGGUAGCUGGUCUGAGAGGAUGAUCAGCCACACUGGGACUGAGACACGGCCCAGACUCCUACGGGAGGCAGCAGUGGGGAAUAUUGGACAAUGGGCGCAAGCCUGAUCCAGCAAUGCCGCGUGUGUGAAGAAGGCCUGAGGGUUGUAAAGCACUUUCAGUGGGGAGGAAGGCUCACGUGUUAAUAGCACGUGGGAUUGACGUUACCUACAGAAGAAGCACCGGCUAACUCCGUGCCAGCAGCCGCGGUAAUAAU
rnacentral:rRNA from 1 species